UACGGGGGGGGCAAGCGUUGUUCGGAAUUAUUGGGCGUAAAGAGCUCGUAGGCGGUUUGUCGCGUCUGCUGUGAAAACUCGGGGCUUAACUCCGGGCCUGCAGUGGGUACGGGCAGACUAGAGUGCGGUAGGGGAGACUGGAAUUCCUGGUGUAGCGGUGAAAUGCGCAGAUAUCAGGAGGAACACCGGUGGCGAAGGCGGGUCUCUGGGCCGUAACUGACGCUGAGGAGCGAAAGCGUGGGGAGCGAACAGG
rnacentral:rRNA from 1 species